rnacentral:lncRNA from 10 species
AUGAAAUGAGGAGAUGAAACGAUGAGAUGAAAUGAAAGGAUGAGAUGAAAUGAUGAUAUGAGAUGAGAUGAAAUGAGAUGAAACGAGAUGAAAUGAUGAAAUGAUGAGAUGAGACGAGAAGAAAUGAUGAGAUGAAAUGAGAUGAGAUAAAAUGAGAUGAAAUGAAGUGAAAUGAAAUGAAAUAAUGAAAUUGAAAUGAGAUGAGAUGAAAUGAGAUAAAAUGAUGAGAUGAAAUGAUGAGAAGAAAUGAGAUGAAAUGA